rnacentral:rRNA from 1 species
CAGGCCUAACACAUGCAAGUCGAGCGCACCUUCGGGUGAGCGGCGGACGGGUUAGUAACGCGUGGGAACGUGCCCAGAUCUAAGGAAUAGCCGCUGGAAACGGUGAGUAAUACCUUAUACGCCCCCCGGGUCAAACUGGGGGGGAAAGAUUUAUCGGAUUUGGACCGGCCCGCGUUAGAUUAGGUAGUUGGUGGGGUAAUGGCCUACCAAGCCUACGAUCUAUAGCUGGUUUUAGAGGAUGAUCAGCAACACUGGGACUGAGACACGGCCCAGACUCCUACGGGAGGCAGCAGUGGGGAAUCUUAGACAAUGGGGGCAACCCUGAUCUAGCCAUGCCGCGUGAGUGACGAAGGCCCUAGGGUCAUAAAGCUCUUUCGCCAGGGAUGAUAAUGACAGUACCUGGUAAAGAAACCCCGGCUAACUCCGUGCCAGCAGCCGCGGUAAUACGGAGGGGGUUAGCGUUGUUCGGAAUUACUGGGCGUAAAGCGCGCGUAGGCGGAUCGGAAAGUUGGGGGUGAAAUCCCGGGGCUCAACCCCGGAACUGCCUCCAAAACUAUCGGUCUAGAGUUCGAGAGAGGUGAGUGGAACUCCGAGUGUAGAGGUGAAAUUCGUAGAUAUUCGGAAGAACACCAGUGGCGAAGGCGGCUCA